rnacentral:rRNA from 1 species
AGGACGAACGCUGGCGGCGUGCCUAAUGCAUGCAAGUCGAACGAGGUCCACCCCGUGGCAACACGGGUGAAGACCUAGUGGCGAACGGGUGAGUAACACGUGAGGAACCUGCCCCGAAGACCGGGAUAACCCUCCGAAAGGAGAGCUAAUACCGGAUGUCUCCACCAGAUCGCAUGGUCAGGUGGGGAAAUGCUUUUGUGCUUCGGGAGGGCCUCGCGGCCUAUCAGCUUGUUGGUGGGGUAACGCCCACCAAGGCAUCGACGGGUAGCGUGGUCUGAGAGGACGAUCGAGCCACACUGGGACUGAGACACGGCCCAGACUCCGUACGGGAGGCAGCAGCGAAGGGAACUCGUU